UGGAUCACCUCCUAACAGGGAGACAACAAAAUGUUUAAUAUUAUUAUUUUGUCACCUUAGGUCGAUCGGUAUCUCACAUUCUUAAUUUAUUAAGGAUUUCAUUUCCUAAGUUUUUCUAGGUCACACCCAUUAUUUUCCCUGGGCCAUUAGCUCAGGUGGUUAGAGCGCACCCCUGAUAAGGGUGAGGUCCCUGGUUCAAGUCCAGGAUGGCCCAUAUCUCUAUGUUGGGGGUAUAGCUCAGUUGGUAGAGCGCCUGCUUUGCAAGCAGGAUGUCAGGAGUUCGAGUCUCCUAACCUCCGCUGACCGAACUCAAUCUCCGGUUUUGCAUUGAAAGAUGGAGAACCACUCGAUUGUGAAGUGUGAUUUAGAUGUGUCCGCUGGAUGACCCCAGCUUCCUGUCAUUCCAAAUCAAAGUAAAGGAUUUUACUUGAACGAAUUUGGUUGAUAAGAUGCUGGGCUCGAUUUCAGUGAUCAAGAGAUUGGUCAUUGAAUUUGAAGUCUGGCAGAACCUUGACAACUGCAUAGGUAAGUCUGGAAAAACAAAGCAUCUUACAGAUGCAUUGUUUUGAAUCUGAUCUUCUGAAAGGGAGAUUAGAUCUAGAACAAUGAAAAUUCUUUUGAGCAAGAGCCGAGACUCUUGAAUGUUCUUUGAUUGGUGUCGAGCCAAUCAGAGUUUGAUCUUGUUUUUAGCAAUAAAAACUUGAGAAUCUGCUUUCAACGGCGGUAAGCGUUCAGGAGGUUAAUUGGUCAAGCUACAAAGGGCUCACGGCGGAUACCUUGGCACACAGAGGCGAUGAAGG
rnacentral:tRNA from 1 species